UCUUGCAUGAGAGGAACUGGAGCUUGGAGGAGUUUAUGAAAUGAUAUAGAAGAAGGUAUUUUUCUCUUUUUCAUAUUUGUCUUAUUUUAGAAAUAUCCAUUUGGGAGCUGAAAUGAAAACAUCCACUUCCUCACUCCCAGUGUACCCAACUGAAUAUCAUGACAUCAAUACAAUCUCCUCAGGUCCAUGGUUAGAUAACUAUUGUCUUCUUGAAAAUCAACCCAGGAUCCCAAAGGACCAAAAUCACUGAGAGAAGGCCCCAGUCCAGGGAGCAACAGACAACAACAGGAGAACUUUUGGCAUAUUCAUUCCGUUUGCAUUUGCCUGUUUUCUUUCUCCUCUAUGACUUCCAAGAUCCCUCCCAAAGCGUGAUUCUAUGAUUCUUGUAGAGUCUUAGGACAUCUAAAACCCCCAGAAAAAACUUAACUGCCAAAUUAUUUCAGGAGAAUAAAAUACACCAGAUGCCAGGCCAACUCCUUGAGCUUUGAUGAAUAUAGAUAUUUGGCCAGUAGUGAUAAAUGUGGAGAAACCUCUUUUUCCCUUCAUCAAUCACAAUUGUUGGAAUGCUAUUAUCUAGUUGACACACAGAGAUCUCUGCAGUUUUCUAACUUUAAAAGUUUGGGCCAGGUGCAGUAGCUCAUGCCUGUAAUCUUGGUACUUCAGGAAGUCAAAGCAAGAGAAUCACUUGAGGCCAGAAGUUUGAGACCAGUCUGAGCAACAUAGUGGGACCCUGUCUCACACAAAAAAAUUUUUUAAUAUUAACUGAGCAUGGUGAUGCAUACCUGUACUCCCAGCUACUUAGGAGGCCGAGACUGCAAUGAGCUGUGAUCUCAC
rnacentral:lncRNA from 10 species